CCCAGACUCCUACGGGAGGCAGCAGUGGGGAAUAUUGCACAAUGGGGGAAACCCUGAUGCAGCGACGCCGCGUGAAGGAUGAAGUAUUUCGGUAUGUAAACUUCUCUCAGCAGGGAAGAAAAUGACGGUACCUGACUAAGAAGCCCCGGCUAACUACGUGCCAGCAGCCGCGGUAAUACGUAGGGGGCAAGCGUUAUCCGGAUUUACUGGGUGUAAAGGGAGCGUAGACGGCAGUGCAAGUCCGGAGUGAAAGCCCGGGGCCCAACCCCGGGACUGCUCUGGAAACUGCGGCGCUGGAGUACGGGAGGGGCAGGCGGAAUUCCUGGUGUAGCGGUGAAAUGCGUAGAUAUCAGGAGGAACACCGGCGGCGAAGGCGGCCUGCUGGACCGUGACUGACGUUGAGGCUCGAGAGCGUGGGGAGCAAACAGGAUUAGAUACCCCUGUA
rnacentral:rRNA from 1 species